rnacentral:lncRNA from 1 species
CGCUACCGCUAGCUCAUUCACCCAGCAAUAAUAGUUGUGUUUUUCCACAUUUAAAUACAUAAAAUCAGAGCCCCUAAUUCAAUUAAACAUCAUUUUUCUUUCCCCAGUUUUUCAAUUUCAGGUACCUUCUUUUUCUUCUUUUACAAUAUAUCUCUUCAAAUUUUAUUUAGUUUUAUACAAAAAUUCCCAAUCCGUAAUUGGUUAUUCCUUUUCAAGUUUAAUUUGGUAGUUGUUGCUUGUUUUGUUGAAAUUUAUUUAAAUUCCGGCGUAAGGGAUGUGGUUUUUUGCUUGUUCCUUUAUUUUCAUAGCAUCAAAUAUAGGAAAUUCGAUAAUUGAGAAUUUUUCGAAUACCAGUUCUGGUGAUUGAUAUAUCAAUAGGUUAAAAGGUGUUGGAAUUUGUUUUGAUGAUCUUUGCUAAAGCUCUCGUUUUUGGUUAAAGUAAAGAUAUUAUGCAAUGAUUUUCUGUUUGAAUUACGGUUUCUUUUUAAUGAUGAAUUACUUUUUUUUUUUUAAUUGUUAACGUUUGAGUUCCUAAAGCACUAAGGGUUCAUACUGUUAGGGGCUCUGAUUGGGAGCUGUUACAAUGUAUCGACCUGUGGCUACAGCUGCAGCCACGGGUGGAGUCCCAACUGACAAUGGGGACUAUGUUGUGACUUUGGAUCAAGUCCCACGGUGGAAUGAUGCAGA